UCUAAUGAGAUAGAAAAGAAGAAUCAUAGCCAUCCACAGUGUGUACCCUCUACAUGAGGUUCCACCCCCUUAGAUCCUUUCGGCAAGAGGGUGCUAUCCCCCUUGACCCCCCAUCCACUGACCACACAAUGGGAUCCGCAACUACCAAUCGUAGCGCACAAAUAAUACUCGGAUCAAAAGGAUGGAACAGGAUCCACUAUCCCAGC
rnacentral:lncRNA from 1 species